UACAGAGGUCUCAAGCGUUGUUCGGAUUCACUGGGCGUAAAGGGUGCGUAGGCGGGUCUUUAAGUCAGGGGUGAAAUCCUGGAGCUCAACUCCAGAACUGCCUUUGAUACUGAAGAUCUUGAGUCCGGGAGAGGUGAGUGGAACUGCGAGUGUAGAGGUGAAAUUCGUAGAUAUUCGCAAGAACACCAGUGGCGAAGGCGGCUCACUGGCCCGGUACUGACGCUGAGGCACGAAAGCGUGGGGAGCAAACAGG
rnacentral:rRNA from 1 species